rnacentral:rRNA from 1 species
CUAACAAGGAUUCCCCUAGUAACUGCGAGUGAAGCGGGAAAAGCUCAAAUUUAAAAUCUGGCGGUCUUUGGCCGUCCGAGUUGUAGUCUGGAGAAGUGCUUUCCGCGCUGGACCGUGUACAAGUCUCUUGGAACAGAGCGUCAUAGAGGGUGAGAAUCCCGUCUUUGACACGGACUACCAGUGCUUUGUGAUGCGCUCUCAACGAGUCGAGUUGUUUGGGAAUGCAGCUCAAAAUGGGUGGUAAAUUCCAUCUAAAGCUAAAUAUUGGCGAGAGACCGAUAGCGAACAAGUACCGUGAGGGAAAGAUGAAAAGCACUUUGGAAAGAGAGUUAAACAGUACGUGAAAUUGCUGAAAGGGAAACGAUUGAAGUCAGUCGCGUUGGCCGGAACUCAGCCUUGCUUCCGCUUGGUGUAUUUUCUGGUUGACGGGCCAGCAUCAGUUUUGAUCGUUGGAUAAAGGCUGGGGGAAUGUGGCACCUUCGGGUGUGUUAUAGCCCUCGGUCACAUACAACGGCUGGGACUGAGGAUCGCAGCACGCCUUUAUGGUCGGGGUUCGCCCACGUAUGUGCUUAGGAUGCUGGCAUAAUGGCUUUAAACGACCCGUCUUGAAACACGGACCAAGGAGUCUAACAUGCCCGCGAGUGUUUGGGUGGAAAACCCGAGCGCGUAAUGAAAGUGAAAGUUGAGAUCCCUGUCAUGGGGAGCAUCGACGCCCGGACCUGAACUUCUGUGACGGCUCUGCGGUGGAGCGUGUAUGUUGGGACCCGAAAGAUGGUGAACUAUGCCUGAAUAGGGUGAAGCCAGAGGAAACUCUGGUGGAGGCUCGUAGCGAUUCUGACGUGCAAAUCGAUCGUCAAAUUUGGGUAUAGGGGCGAAAGACUAAUCGAACCAUCUAGUAGCUGGUCCUG